GGGUCCCAGUGAUGAGAACGUGGAAUUGGGCCCCAUUUUGGGGUCCCGAUCACUCCGUGGGGAAUCAAUUCCAUGCUGCCUUCCUUCUGAGGGGCCC